UACGGGGGGGGCAAGCGUUGUUCGGAAUUACUGGGCGUAAAGGGCUCGUAGGCGGCCAACUAAGUCCGACGUGAAAUCCCAAGGCUUAACCUUGGAACUGCGUCGGAUACUGGAUGGCUUGAAUUCGGGAGAGGGAUGCAGAAUUCCAGGUGUAGCGGUGAAAUGCGUUGAUAUCUACAGGAACUCCGGUGGCGAAGGCGGCACGCUGGACCUUUUCUGACGCUGAGGCGCGAAAGCCAGGGGAGCGAACGGG
rnacentral:rRNA from 1 species